rnacentral:rRNA from 1 species
GACGAACGCUGGCGGCAUGCCUAAUACAUGCAAGUCGAGCGGACAGAUGAAGUGCUUGCACUUCUGACGUUAGCGGCGAACGGGUGAGUAACACGUAAGGAAUCUACCUAUAAGCGGGGGAUAACAUUCGGAAACGGGUGCUAAUACCGCAUAAUAUCCUCUUCCGCAUGGAAGAAGAUUGAAAGACGGCUCUGCUGUCACUUAUAGAUGACCUUGCGGUGCAUUAGUUAGUUGGUGGGGUAACGGCCUACCAAGACGAUGAUGCAUAGCCGACCUGAGAUGGUGAUCGGCCACAUUGGGACUGAGACACGGCCCAAACUCCUACGGGAGGCAGCAGUAGGGAAUCUUCCGCAAUGGGCGAAAGCCUGACGGAGCAAUGCCGCGUGAGUGAAGAAGGCCUUCGGGUCGUAAAACUCUGUUAUAAGAGGAGAACAAAUUGUAGAGUAACUGCUACAGUCUUGACGGUAUCUUAUCAGAAAGCCACGGCUAACUACGUGCCAGCCGCCGCAGUAA